rnacentral:rRNA from 1 species
UACGUAGGGGGCUAGCGUUGUUCGGAAUUACUGGGCGUAAAGGGCUCGUAGGCGGCCAACUAAGUCAGACGUGAAAUCCCUCAGCUUAACUGGGGAACUGCGUCUGAUACUGGAUGGCUUGGAUCCGGAAGAGGGAUGCGGAAUUCCAGGUGUAGCGGUGAAAUGCGUAGAUAUCUGGAGGAACACCGGUGGCGAAGGCGGCAUCCUGGGCCGGUAUUGACGCUGAGGCGCGAUAGCGUGGGGAGCAAACGGG